UCUCUCGUGGUGUAAUGGUAACAUGCCUCCUUGUCGCGGUGGCGCCUCUGGUUCGAUUCCGGGCGAGAGAG
rfam:Colletotrichum gloeosporioides Nara gc5 unplaced genomic scaffold scaffold15, whole genome shotgun sequence.